UAAAGGCUGAAGGUAGAUGUGAUUCUCAAGCCUACUGAAUACUGUCCAAACCAGAAAUGAGUGACAUUAACAGUAACUGAAGUUCUGCUUCAAAACCGAGAUUGGUACACAAGCAUCUAGUCAUGACUAAUGCUGAUCUAUUUACUUACAUUGAACACGUGCUGGAAAAGGAUCGCAUUAUCAAUAAGAACACUGUUUCGGAGACUUCUCUGAAUAUUUGUGCUUGUGGAACAUAACUCCACCGCAGGCAGGCAGAAAAAGGAAACCCUGAGUGAAAGGAGUCGUGGUAAUGAAUCAGAGUGUAAAGGAAGGAAUUGCUUGUGUGUAUAGAGCUCUCAAUGCUCUCCUGCAAUGGGUGUGGGAGUCUGGAUUACUUGGCUCAACAAUCGAUAUAAGCUAAGAAUUGUGGAAGGUGAAGCUUGUUCUUUCUAUACAUUAUUUUCCACUACUUGCUGCCUACACCCAUUAGUCAGUUUC